AUUGAACGCUGGCGGCAGGCCUAACACAUGCAAGUCGAGCGGAUGAAGGGAGCUUGCUCCUGGAUUCAGCGGCGGACGGGUGAGUAAUGCCUAGGAAUCUGCCUUGUAGUGGGGGCUAACGUCCGGAAACGGGCGCUAAUACCGCAUACGUCCUGAGGGAGAAAGUGGGGGAUCUUCGGACCUCACGCUAUCAGAUGAGCCUAGGUCGGAUUAGCUAGUUGGUGGGGUAAAGGCCUACCAAGGCGACGAUCCGUAACUGGUCUGAGAGGAUGAUCAGUCACACUGGAACUGAGACACGGUCCAGACUCCUACGGGAGGCAGCAGUGGGGAAUAUUGGACAAUGGGCGAAAGCCUGAUCCAGCCACGCCGCGUGUGUGAAGAAGGUCUUCGGAUUGUAAAGCACUUUUAGUUGGGAGGAAGGGCAGUAAGUUAAUCCCUUGCUGUUUUGACGGUACCAACAGAAUAAGCACCGGCUAACUUCGUG
rnacentral:rRNA from 1 species